GACGAACGCUGGCGGUAUGCUUAACACAUGCAAGUCGAACGAGACGAGAUGGAAGGAUCCUUCGGGUGACGGAAAUCUUAGAAAGUGGCGAACGGGUGAGUAACGCGUGGGUAACCUGCCCUAUGGAAAGGAAUAGCCUCGGGAAACUGGGAGUAAUGCCUUAUAAUAUACGAGAGUCGCAUGGCUUUUGUAUUAAACGCUCCGGUGCCAUAGGAUGGACCCGCGUCCCAUUAGCUAGUUGGUGAGAUAACAGCUCACCAAGGCGACGAUGGGUAACCGGUCUGAGAGGGCGAACGGUCACACUGGAACUGAGACACGGUCCAGACUCCUACGGGAGGCAGCAGUGGGGAAUAUUGCGCAAUGGGGGCAACCCUGACGCAGCAAUACCGCGUGAGUGAAGAAGGUUUUCGGAUCGUAAAGCUCUGUUAUUGGGGAAGAAAAAAGACGGUACCCAAGAAGAAAGUCCCGGCUAACUACGUGCCAGCAGCCGCGGUAACAC
rnacentral:rRNA from 1 species